rnacentral:rRNA from 1 species
UUGGUCCUACGGGGGGCAGCAGUGGGGAAUAUUGCACAAUGGGGGAAACCCUGAUGCAGCGACGCCGCGUGAGUGAAGAAGUAUUUCGGUAUGUAAAGCUCUCUCAGCAGGGAAGAUAAUGACGGUACCUGACUAAGAAGCCCCGGCUAACUACGUGCCAGCAGCCGCGGUAAUACGUAGGGGGCAAGCGUUAUCCGGAUUUACUGGGUGUAAAGGGAGCGCAGACGGCAGUGCAAGUCUGGAGUGAAAGCCCGGGGCCCAACCCCGGAACUGCUCUGGAAACUGUGCGGCUGGAGUACCGGAUG